GUCGGGAUAGCUCAGCAGGUAGAGCAGAGGACUGAAAAUCCUCGUGUCACCAGUCAAAUCUGGUUCCUGACA
rnacentral:tRNA from 1 species